AUUGAACGCUGGCGGCAGGCCUAACACAUGCCAGUCGAGCGGAUGAAGGGAGCUUGCUCCUGGAUUCAGCGGCGGACGGGUGAGUAAUGCCUAGGAAUCUGCCUGGUAGUGGGGGAUAACGUCCGGAAACGGGCGCUAAUACCGCAUACGUCCUGAGGGAGAAAGUGGGGGAUCUUCGGACCUCACGCUAUCAGAUGAGCCUAGGUCGGAUUAGCUAGUUGGUGGGGUAAAGGCCUACCAAGGCGACGAUCCGUAACUGGUCUGAGAGGAUGAUCAGUCACACUGGAACUGAGACACGGUCCAGACUCCUACGGGAGGCAGCAGUGGGGAAUAUUGGACAAUGGGCGAAAGCCUGAUCCAGCCAUGCAGCGUGUGUGAAGAAGGUCUUCGGAUUGUAAAGCACUUUAAGUUGGGAGGAAGGGCAGUAAGUUAAUACCUUGCUGUUUUGACGUUACCAACAGAAUAAGCACCGGCUAACUUCGUG
rnacentral:rRNA from 1 species